rnacentral:rRNA from 1 species
AUUGAACGCUGGCGGCAGGCUUAACACAUGCAAGUCGAGCGAGCGGCGGACGGGUUAGUAAUGUAUGGGGACUGCCCGAUAGGGGGGGAUAACUACUGGAAACGGUGGCUAAUACAGCAUACUGUCGGAUAACCCAUAUGGGAUUAGCGAGUAGGUAAGGUAAUGGCUUACCUAGGCGACGAUCCCUAGCUGGUCUGAGAGGCUGAUCAGCCAGACUGGAACUGAGACACGGCCGAGACGCCAACGGAGGCAGCAGAGGGGAAUAUGGCAGAAUGGGCGGAAGCCUAAUGCGGCCUUGCCGCGGGUAUGAAGAAGGCCCUAGGGUUGUAAAGCACUUGCCGUCGGGAUGCGGUACCGACAGAAGAAGCACCGGCUAACUCCGUGCCAGCAGCCGCGGUAAUUC